GAUGAACGCUGGCGGCGUGCCUAAUACAUGCAAGUCGAGCGAACGGACGAGAAGCUUGCUUCUCUGAUGUUAGCGGCGGACGGGUGAGUAACACGUGGAUAACCUACCUAUAAGACUGGGAUAACUUCGGGAAACCGUAGCUAAUACCGGAUAAUAUUUUGAACCGCAUGGUUCAAAAGUGAAAGACGGUCUUGCUGUCACUUAUAGAUGGAUCCGCGCUGCAUUAGCUAGUUGGUAAGGUAACGGCUUACCAAGGCAACGAUGCAUAGCCGACCUGAGAGGGUGACCGGCACCUUUGGAACGGGCAACCGGUCCAGACUCCUAGGGGAGCCCGCAGAAGGAAAUCUUCCGCAAUGGGCGAAGGCGUGCCGAGGCAACGCUGGGUGAGAGAUAAAGGUCUUCGGAUCGAAAAACUCUGUUAUUGGGAAAGAAAAUUUGUGUAAGUAACUGUGCCAAUCUUACCGGUACCUAUGCAGAAAGCAAGGGCUAAUUACGG
rnacentral:rRNA from 1 species